GGCCCUCCGCCGGCACCGGCCAGGAGCACUUCCGCCUUCCUCCCUCCACCCCGGAAGCCACGGCGCCAUCCCGGAAGUGCUCCCGGGCCCCGCGCGGGCCGCGCUCCACAGCGCCCCCAGCGGUGGGGCGGGCAGCGGGGCGGGGCUGCCUCGUGCUUUUCUGUGAACUUCCAAUUGAAGCAAAUUUCGGUGUGAGUUUUGAAGUAGAAACGGCUACGUAAGACGUGUGGCACUGCUCCGUGCAGGUAUGCGGCUUGGGAACCUGAAGACAACAGUUAAAAGGGUAUUUUUGUCAGGUUUUCAUUUUCCACCGCUGUCGCAGCCUGUCGCCAUCGCCCCCUUCACACGUCCCUCAGCGCCGUCCCACCCCGCGGCGGUCCCACGGGCGGGCGGCACAAAAUGGAGGGGGUGCCCGAAGCUGCGGCGUGACGCGAGUGGGGCGGGCAGCAGCGGCACUGCUCGGCACACGCGGCGCUGCCGGGCGGGUAACGGCCGCGGGUCCGCGGCUGCGCUGGGAUCGUGGUGUGGGUGCGCUGGUCUAAAUGUGUUAACGAAUGCGUAGACUCAGCAGUUUGGGAUUACUUUAGCAAAUAAAUUACAAAAUAGUGCUGUGAUCCAGCAAAAAGCACAAUGCGUGUGUAUCCCUGCGCUGUGCCCCUUGUUAGUAUGUGCCAGGCCC
rnacentral:lncRNA from 1 species